rnacentral:lncRNA from 1 species
GUGCCUGAUAGGCCAGUGCUAGGCCCAUGGCUGCUGUUUGUGGUUGUGAGGGGUGGCUCAGUGCCUGAUAGGCCAGUAUAGGGCCCAUGGGUGCUGUUUGU